GACAAAAAGUUAUUUUCUAAUUUCCAAGCAUCUUUUUGAAUUUUUUAACAUUUUGAAAAAACUAAAAAUCAAAAGGCUAUUAUAAAAGCAAUCCCAAACACCCUCUCAUUCCCAUCUCAAAACAACUAUCCCAAACCCCAGCCAAUGUCUCAAUCAUUGGCACCGGCAUCGCUGACUCAUCUUCUGAACACUUCGUGCCUCAAUUCUCUGUCUGUUUCCCCUUCUCAUCUGAACCAAACUUCAUGCUUGAAUGCUUAACUUCAUGUUGUUUCAUCCUUUAGCAUCCAUAAAAUGCAAGUUGGUAGGUAUGUUUCCUAAUUAAUUUUUGAUUUUUAGGAUUACUUCAAAGUAUAUUGAUUAUCUCUUUGAUCGACUUUAACCAAUCGAUUUUGACUUUUUUUUGACUUUAACCUUUGGUCAUUGGUGUUGGAGGUGGGGUUAGUGGAGUAUGUGUGGCAACAAAUUUCUUAUUUCACUGGAAUUAACGUGGUUGAGGUACAUAAACAUACAAAUUUUCAAUUUAUGUCAUUUAGCUUGUUUGAUUUUAGUAACUCCCUCUCGUAUCUGUUUUGUGUUAUUUAACUUGUUCGAUUCAAAAAAAAGUUUUACAUAAGCUCUAGACUAGUAAGAUAAAGAAGGAAGUGGAAGCGAAUUUUGGUAUGCAUCAAAUUCAUUUGAAAGUUUCUCACAUUUUGCUUUAUGUUGUGAAUGAUAUGAAGAAUUACCAUGCUCCUGACGUCUCUAUAUGUUUGAAAAAAAUGGGGGAGACUAUUAUUGAUUUGGUUCUUGAGGUUAUUCAUCCACCUAAUAAUAAUUAACUUAAUGUUCGUGAAAAGAGCUUGUGAAAUUGUUAAAAAUAAAAACUCUUAUAACUUUAGAUUUCA